rnacentral:rRNA from 1 species
AGCGAACGCUGGCGGCAGGCCUAACACAUGCAAGUCGAACGAAGUCUUCGGACUUAGUGGCGGACGGGUGAGUAACACGUGGGAACGUGCCUUUAGGUUCGGAAUAACUCAGGGAAACUUGUGCUAAUACCGAAUGUGCCCUUCGGGGGAAAGAUUUAUCGCCUUUAGAGCGGCCCGCGUCUGAUUAGCUAGUUGGUGAGGUAAAGGCUCACCAAGGCGACGAUCAGUAGCUGGUCUGAGAGGAUGAUCAGCCACAUUGGGACUGAGACACGGCCCAGACUCCUACGGGAGGCAGCAGUGGGGAAUCUUGCGCAAUGGGCGAAAGCCUGACGCAGCCAUGCCGUGUGAAUGAUGAAGGUCUUAGGAUUGUAAAAUUCUUUCACCGGGGACGAUAAUGACGGUACCCGGAGAAGAAGCCCCGGCUAACUUCGUGCCAGCAGCCGCAGUAA